rnacentral:rRNA from 1 species
AAGACCUUGCGCUUUUGGAGCGGCCGAUGCCUGAUUAGCUUGUUGGUAAGGUAAAAGCUUACCAAGGCUUCGAUCAGUAGCUGGUCUGAGAGGACGGCCAGCCACACUGGGACUGAGACACGGCCCAGACUCCUACGGGAGGCAGCAGUGGGGAAUUUUGGACAAUGGGGGCAACCCUGAUCCAACCAUGCCGCGUGAGUGAAGAAGGCCUUCGGGUUAUAAAGCUCUUUCAGCCGGAACGAAACGGUUACGGUUAAUACCCGUGAUUACUGACGGUACCGGAAGAAGAAGCACCGGCUAACUACGUGCCAGCAGCCGCGGUAAUACGUAGGGUGCGAGCGUUAAUCGGAAUUACUGGGCGUAAAGCGUGCGCAGGUGGUUUUGUAAGUCAGAUGUGAAAGCCCCGGGCUCAACCUGGGAACU